rnacentral:rRNA from 1 species
GAUGAACGCUAGCGGGAGGCUUAACACAUGCAAGUCGAGGGGCAGCAUAAGGUAGCAAUACUUUGAUGGCGACCGGCGCACGGGUGAGUAACGCGUAUGCAACCUACCCUGUACAGGGGGAUAGCCCGGAGAAAUUCGGAUUAAUACCCCAUAAAGAUAUAAUAAGGCAUCUUUUUAUAUUUAAAGUUUCGACGGUACGGGAUGGGCAUGCGUGACAUUAGCUAGUUGGUAGGGUAACGGCCUACCAAGGCGACGAUGUCUAGGGGUCCUGAGAGGGUGAUCCCCCACACUGGUACUGAGACACGGACCAGACUCCUACGGGAGGCAGCAGCGAGGAAUAUUGGUCAAUGGGCGUAAGCCUGAACCAGCCAUCCCGCGUGAAGGAAGAAGGCGCUAUGCGUUGUAAACUUCUUUUCCAGGGGAAGAAAACCCCCGACGUGUCGGGGCUUGCCGGUACCCUGGGAAUAAGCAUCGGCUAACUCCGUGCCAGCAGCCGCGGUAAAAC